rnacentral:rRNA from 1 species
AUUGAACGCUGGCGGCAUGCCUUACACAUGCAAGUCGAACGGCGGCACGGAGCUUGCUCUGGUGGCGAGUGGCGAACGGGUGAGUAAUAUAUCGGAACGUACCCUAGAGUGGGGGAUAACGUAGCGAAAGUUACGCUAAUACCGCAUACGAUCUAAGGAUGAAAGUGGGGGAUCGCAAGACCUCAUGCUCGUGGAGCGGUCGAUAUCUGAUUAGCUAGUUGGUAGGGUAAAAGCCUACCAAGGCAUCGAUCAGUAGCUGGUCUGAGAGGACGACCAGCCACACUGGAACUGAGACACGGUCCAGACUCCUACGGGAGGCAGCAGUGGGGAAUUUUGGACAAUGGGCGAAAGCCUGAUCCAGCAAUGCCGCGUGAGUGAAGAAGGCCUUCGGGUUGUAAAGCUCUUUUGUCAGGGAAGAAACGGUGAGAGCUAAUAUCUCUUGCUAAUGACGGUACCUGAAGAAUAAGCACCGGCUAACUACGUGCCAGCAGCCGCGGUAAUACGUAGGGUGCAAGCGUUAAUCGGAAUUACUGGGCGUAAAGCGUGCGCAGGCGGUUUUGUAAGUCUGAUGUGAAAUCCCCGGGCUCAACCUGGGAAUUGCAUUGGAGACUGCAAGGCUAGAAUCUGGCAGAGGGGGGUAGAAUUCCACGUGUAGCAGUGAAAUGCGUAGAUAUGUGGAGGAACACCGAUGGCGAAGGCAGCCCCCUGGGUCAAGAUUGACGCUCAUGCACGAAAGCGUGGGGAGCAAACAGGAUUAGAUACCCUGGUAGUCCACGCCCUAAACGAUGUCUACUAGUUGUCGGGUCUUAAUUGACUUGGUAACGCAGCUAACGCGUGAAGUAGACCGCCUGGGGAGUACGGUCGCAAGAUUAAAACUCAAAGGAAUUGACGGAGACCCGCACAAGCGGUGGAUGAUGUGGAUUAAUUCGAUGCAACGCGAAAAACCUUACCUACCCUUGACAUGGCUGGAAUCCUUGAGAGAUCAGGGAGUGCUCGAAAGAGAACCAGUACACAGGUGCUGCAUGGCUGUCGUCAGCUCGUGUCGUGAGAUGUUGGGUUAAGUCCCGCAACGAGCGCAACCCUUGUCAUUAGUUGCUACGAAAGGGCACUCUAAUGAGACUGCCGGUGACAAACCGGAGGAAGGUGGGGAUGACGUCAAGUCCUCAUGGCCCUUAUGGGUAGGGCUUCACACGUCAUACAAUGGUACAUACAGAGCGCCGCCAACCCGCGAGGGGGAGCUAAUCGCAGAAAGUGUAUCGUAGUCCGGAUUGUAGUCUGCAACUCGACUGCAUGAAGUUGGAAUCGCUAGUAAUCGCGGAUCAGCAUGUCGCGGUGAAUACGUUCCCGGGUCU